UAAUACCGGAUAGAUCAAAGAUACUGGAAUGUUCCUCGAUCCAAAGCUCCGGCGUCCAAGGAUGGAUCUGCGGCCUAUCAGGUAGUAGUGGGUGUAACGUACCUACUAGCCUACGACGGGUACGGGUUGUGAGAGCAAGAGCCCGGAGAUGGAUUCUGAGACAUGAAUCCAGGCCCUACGGGGCGCAGCAGGCGCGAAAUCUUUACAAUGCAGGAAACUGCGAUAAGGGGACCCCGAGUGCCAGCAUCUAAUGCUGGCUGUCCAGCUGUGUAAAUAGCAGUUGUUAGCAAGGGCCGGGCAAGACCGGUGCCAGCCGCCGCGGUAACACCGGUGGCCCGAGUGGUAACCGAUUUUAUUGGGUUUAAAGGGUCCGUAGCCGGCCUGUUAAGUCUCUUGGGAAAUCUGGCGGCUCAAUCGUCAGGCGUUC
rnacentral:rRNA from 1 species